rnacentral:rRNA from 1 species
AGAUUGAACGCUGGCGGCAGGCCUAACACAUGCAAGUCGAGCGGUAGAGAGGUGCUUGCACCUCUUGAGAGCGGCGGACGGGUGAGUAAUGCCUAGGAAUCUGCCUAGUGGUGGGGGAUAACGUUCGGAAACGGACGCUAAUACCGCAUACGUCCUACGGGAGAAAGCGGGGGACCUUCGGGCCUCGCGCCAUUAGAUGAGCCUAGGUCGGAUUAGCUAGUUGGUGAGGUAAUGGCUCACCAAGGCGACGAUCCGUAACUGGUCUGAGAGGAUGAUCAGUCACACUGGAACUGAGACACGGUCCAGACUCCUACGGGAGCAGCAGUGGGGAAUAGUUGGACAAUGGGACGAAAGCCUGAUCCAGCCAUGCCGCGUGUGUGAAGAAGGUCUUCGGAUUGGUAAAAGCUAACGUUUAAGGUUGGGGAAGGGUAAGGGGUUUACGUAAAC